AUUGAACGCUGGCGGCAGGACUAACACAUGCAAGUCGAGCGGAUGAAGGGAGCUUGCUCCUGGAUUCAGCGGCGGACGGGUGAGUAAUGCCUAGGAAUCUGCCUGGUAGUGGGGGAUAACGUCCGGAAACGGGCGCUAAUACCGCAUACGUCCUGAGGGAGAAAGUGGGGGAUCUUCGGACCUCACGCCAUCAGAUGAGCCUAGUUCGGAUUCGCUAGUUGGUGGGGUAAAGGCCUACCAAGGCGACGAUCCGUAACUGGUCUGAGAGGAUGAUCCGUCACACUGGAACUGGGACACGGUCCAGACUCCUACGGGAGGCAGCAGUGGGGAAUUUUGGCCAAUGGGCGAAAGCCUGCUCCAGCCAUGCCGCGUGUGUGAAGAAGGUCUUCCGAUUGUAAAGCACUUUAAGUUGGGAGGAAGGGCAGUAAGUUAAUACCUUGCUGUUUUGACGUUACCAACAGAAUAAGCACCGCCUAACUUCGUG
rnacentral:rRNA from 1 species